GAUGAACGCUGGCGGCGUGCUUAACACAUGCAAGUCGAGCGAGAAGUUUUGAAAAGAUUCUUCGGAUGAACUUUAAAAUGGAAGGCGGCGGACGGGUGAGUAACGCGUAGGCAACCUGCCCCAUACAAAGGGAUAGCAUUUGGAAACGAAUAUUAAUACCUUAUGAAACUUAACUAGUGCAUGCUAGGUAGGUCAAAGAUUUAUCGGUAUGGGAUGGGCCUGCGUCUGAUUAGCUAGUUGGUGAGGUAACGGCUCACCAAGGCGACGAUCAGUAGCCGACCUGAGAGGGUGAACGGCCACAUUGGAACUGAGACACGGUCCAAACUCCUACGGGAGGCAGCAGUGGGGAAUAUUGCACAAUGGGGGAAACCCUGAUGCAGCAACGCCGCGUGAACGAUGAAGGCCUUUGGGUCGUAAAGUUCUGUUCUAGGUGAUGAAAACUGACAGUAACCUAGGAGAAAGCCCCGGCUAACUCCGUG
rnacentral:rRNA from 1 species